GGGCUGUCCAGUCUGAAGGGUCCAGUCAGGCCGGACUCAGUCCUGGCAGCAGUGAUGGCAUCUUUAAUGGCAUAAAACACUGAGGCCGCCAGAAAGAGAGGAGGCUCGCCCACAGCCUGAGCACAAGCACACAGCCAUAAAGAGCCUGAGCAGAAGAUGGCUGACCUGGUUGAGGAAGACAGCAGUGAAGCUGAUGCCAAACUUGGUGGGAAUGAUGGACAACCCUCUCUUGGUCCAACGGUGCUGCCUGGAAUGAAAGGAUUACAGCAGAUCUUACCCAGUACCUGAACUGAAAACAUAUUUACAGUUUCAUCCAAAUAAAAAAAAAAAAAAAAAAAUCUCUCUUCAUGAAAUGACA